AUUUGAGUAGCUUAGCUGGUAGAGCACAAGAAUCUUAAUCUCAGGUUGUGGGUUUGAGGCUCGCGUUGGACA